rnacentral:rRNA from 1 species
CGCGUAGGUGGUUAAUUAAGUCAGAUGUGAAAUCCCUGGGCUUAACCUAGGAAUUGCAUAUGAUACUGAUUAGCUAGAGUACAGAAGAGGGAAGUGGAAUUUCCGGUGUAGCGGUGAAAUGCGUAGAUAUCGGAAGGAACAUCAGUGGCGAAGGCGACUUCCUGGUCUGUUACUGACACUGAGGCGCGAAAGCGUGGGGAGCGAACA